rnacentral:rRNA from 1 species
UCCCCCCCACUGGAACUGAGACACGGUCCAGACUCCUACGGGAGGCAGCAGUAGGGACUAUUGGUCAAUGGGCGAGAGCCUGAACCAGCCAUGCCGCGUGCAGGAGGACGGCCUUCUGGGUUGUAAACUGCUUUUCUACAGGAAGAAAAAGGUCAUGCGUGACAAAUUGCCGGUAUUGUAGGAAUAAGCACCGGCUAACUCCGUGCCAGCAGCCGCGGUAAUACGGAGGGUGCAAGCGUUGUCCGGAUUUAUUGGGUUUAAAGGGUGCGUAGGCGGAUCUUUAAGUCCGUGGUGAAAGCCCGCAGCUUAACUGUGGAAUUGCCAUGGAUACUGGAGAUCUUGAAUUCAGUUGAGGUAGGCGGAAUUGAUGGUGUAGCGGUGAAAUGCAUAGAUACCAUCAGGAACACCGAUUGCGAAGGCAGCUUACUGGGCUUGAAUUGACGCUGAGGCACGAAAGCGUGGGGAGCGAACAGGAUUAGAUACCCUGGUAGUCCACGCCGU